GGAAGCAUGUGCAAGACGAUGAUUCUGCUCCAUCGGAGUGUCAAUGGGUUUACAACCCACUAGUAGAAAAUAUCAAAAAGGCACCCCUUAAUUGGCACCGGUUCAGUCCAAACCGGUGCCAAAAAUGGGCUAUAAAAUUGGUGCGGAAGCUAAACCAACAUAAAAGGCACCGGUUCACUUCAAACCGGUGGCAAAAACAUAAAGGCAACCGGUUUGAACCGGUACCUGUGUGAACCGGCCUUUUAAGUUUAAAAAAAAAAAGCGGUUGUUGUUCUCAACCCUAAACCUAAUUCAUUCCUCUUUCUCUCUCCUCUCCUCUCCUCCUCUUUCUCUCUCCUCUCCUCCUCCUUCCUUCUCCUUUUCAGCCGCCAUUUCACCGCCACAACAACCACCGUCACAACGACCACCUCCGGCCCAGCCCAGCACACAGAAAUGUCGAUCUAAGGGCCCAAAUCGACGUUAGAAUCGAGUCAGCCGCCCCCUUUCUCUUUCUUUCUCGAUCUUCUUCUCCCUGAGGCAGCAAUCAACAACCUGGUAAUUUUCAACUUGCACCACCACCAAGACCACCACAUGCAACACCAAUUCGAGGUAUGUUAUUUAGAUCUGUAAUUGAAGAAACAAGAUACAAGAAUAUCGAUUUAGAUGUGAAUGGUUUUUUUUUUUAUUUAUAUUGUAAUUUUUUUUAAUUUAUAUUGUAAUUUUUUUCGUACUUAUAUGUUGUAAUCGAACUAUUUUAUUGAUGUAUAUUGUAAUUUUUUUUAUGAUAUACAAUAAAUCUUCGAUGAUAUUGAUUGAUAUUGGAUUUAUGUUUUGAUGUGGUUAUUAGUUUAGUUUAUUUAAUUUUUAAGUGGAUAAAACAAAAGAACAAAAAAAAAAAAAA